rnacentral:rRNA from 1 species
UUAGUAACGGCGAGCGAACAGGGAAAAGCCCAGCACUGAAUCGCGCAGACCAUUGGAAUGUUGCGAAAUGUAGUGUUUAGGAAGAUCUUUUUUGUGAUUUGUUAACGCGUUCAAGUCCUUCUUGAACGGGGCCAUUUACCCAUAGAGGGUGCCAGGCCCGUAGUGACCGUUGACAAUUGCAAAAGAUUCUUUCCUUAGAGUCGGGUUGCUUGAGAGUGCAGCCCUAAGUUGGUGGUAAACUCCAUCUAAGGCUAAAUAUUACCACGAGACCGAUAGCGAACAAGUACCGUGAGGGAAAGUUGAAAAGAACUUUGAAGAGAGAGUUCAAUAGUACGUGAAACCGUUUAGGGGUAAACCUGAGAAACUCGAAAGUUCGAUUGAGGAAAUUCAGUGUGUAUCAAUACGCGCGAGUGCCGUUUGUAGACGUUUGUCGUUCUCGGCAGGCGCUUCAUACGUGCGCCGCAGUUUGUUGAACGCAUGCACUUUUCCUCUAGUAGGACGUCACGACCCGUUGGGUGUYGGUCUUGGGUUUGCAGUGGAGCCCAAAGCACAUUUGUGAUUUGGACCUGUGAUGUCCCGACUGACGUUUGACGGUAUAAAGGCGCAGAGCCGCGACUUGUUCGCGUUUGGCCCAAUGCAAGCUAGAACGGUUAUUUAAGUAUCGGACAAAUUUUGCGAUCUUAAUGCCGGUCAGCUGUUGGUGUUGGUGUUUUCAAAACAGACUCUGUAGUGGCCUGUCAGUGACGCUUAAGCUUUGGGUAAUUUCAGGGCCCGUCUUGAAACACGGACCAAGGAGUGUAGCAUGUGCGCAAGUCAAUGGGACUAUCGAAUCCUUACGGCGUAAUGAAAGUGAAGGCUAAAGCUAUGCUUGGCUUAGGGAAGAUGGGUGACGAAAGUCGCUUCGCACUCCCAGGGCGUCUCGUUCUCAUUGCGAGAAGAGGCGCACCCAGAGCGUACAUGCUCCUACCCGAAAGAUGGUGAACUAUGCCUGGUCAGGAC